rnacentral:rRNA from 1 species
GUGCCAGCAGCCGCGGUAAUACCGGCAGCCCAAGUGAUGGCCACUCUUAUUGGGCCUAAAGCGUCCGUAGCCGGCCUCGCAAGUCCGUCGGGAAAUCCACUCGCCCAACGAGUGGGCGUCCGACGGAAACUGCACAGCUUGGGACCGGAAGGCUCGAAGGGUACGUUCGGGGUAGGAGUGAAAUCCCAUAAUCCCGCACGGACCACCGAUGGCGAAAGCACUUCGAGAAAACGGAUCCGACAGUGAGGGACGAAAGCCAGGGUCUCCAACCGGAUUAGAAACCCUGGUAGUCC